GACGAACGCUGGCGGCGUGCUUAACACAUGCAAGUCGAACGGUGACGACAGGGCUUGCCUUGUCUGAUCAGUGGCGAACGGGUGAGUAACACGUGAGUAACCUGCCCCUGACUCUGGGAUAACCCCGGGAAACCGGAGCUAAUACCGGAUACGACACGCCUCCGCAUGGGGAGCGUGUGGAAAGUUUUUCGGUCUGGGAUGGACUCGCGGCCUAUCAGCUUGUUGGUGAGGUAAUGGCUCACCAAGGCGACGACGGGUAGCCGGCCUGAGAGGGCGACCGGCCACACUGGGACUGAGACACGGCCCAGACUCCUACGGGAGGCAGCAGUGGGGAAUAUUGCACAAUGGGCGAAAGCCUGAUGCAGCGACGCCGCGUGAGGGAUGACGGCCUUCGGGUUGUAAACCUCUUUCAGCAGGGAAGAAGCGCAAGUGACGGUACCUGCAGAAGAAGCACCGGCUAACUACGUGCCAGCAGCCGCAGUAACAC
rnacentral:rRNA from 1 species